UGAGGAAUAUUGCACAAUGGGGGAAACCCUGAUGCAGCGACGCCGCGUGAGUGAUGAAGUAUUUCGGUAUGUAAAGCUCUAUCAGCAGGGAAGAAAAUGACGGUACCUGACUAAGAAGCCCCGGCUAACUACGUGCCAGCAGCCGCGGUAAUACGUAGGGGGCAAGCGUUAUCCGGAUUUACUGGGUGUAAAGGGAGCGUAGACGGCAGCGCAAGUCUGGAGUGAAAUGCCGGGGCCCAACCCCGGAACUGCUUUGGAAACUGUGCAGCUCGAGUGCAGGAGAGGUAAGCGGAAUUCCUAGUGUAGCGGUGAAAUGCGUAGAUAUUAGGAGGAACACCGGUGGCGAAGGCGGCUUACUGGACUGCAACUGACGUUGAGGCUCGAAGGCGUGGGGAGCAAACAGG
rnacentral:rRNA from 1 species